UAUAUAAUAUCUAUAAUAAGAUAAUAAAUAUAAUUGAAUUAAAAUACCAUGAAAAAAUGAAGAGUAAAUAGAUACUCAUGUUAAAAUUAUGGACCACAACAAGUUAAAUUUGUAUAGUUGAUCUAUUUGAUGCUUGAAUGCGAUGCGAGUACAUUCUUGUGUCUGUGUUGUGUGCUUGUGUGUAUAAAUUGUUUUGCUUUAUUGAAGCUGUUUUGGAGCUUGACAUUGGUUGCAUGAUGUACUAGCAAGUACUAUGUGUGUAUAUCUAGCUAAUAUUUUGUUGUGAACUGUUGUUGAUUUCUGUUCCCUUUGUUAGUCGUUUAUUAUGCACUCUAUUUUCAAUUGCUAUAUAUAAGUAUCCACUUGACAAAAGACACGACAAGCAGAUUCAUUUUUGUACUAACAAAGUAUGGAGAACACUGCUCUUAUUCCUGUUCCUCCAAUAUCAGUUGAUGAUGAUGAUGAAGAAAAUCCACAAAUAAUUCAGAACGAGAAUGAUAGUCGUUCAUCCAAUAGCAGGGAGCCUCUUGUCUUCACUCAGCCUCAGUUCACACAUGACUUUCAUUUGAUUUAUUGUCGUAAUCAAAGCCCUAGUGACAACUUUUUAAUGCUUGCUAUCAUUCAACUCUUUUUAUGCAGUUUAAUUGGAGUUUUGGCACUCUUUUGCAUUAUUCCAGCUUUAUACUUUGCUGUCAAAGCAAGAAAUGCUGAAAUGAAUGGUGAUAUCAUUAGAAUGUACUCAAAGCGCCAGCUUGCUCUCAUUUUUAACUUCCUUGGCUUUUUUGUUGGCUUUAUAAACAUUAUUGUAAAUAUUUAUAUCAUUAAUUUGUUAGUCUCAUUAUCCCGCUACCAGUAACAUUUAUGUUACACCUCAUGCUAAACUUACCUCAAGUUUUGUAACACAGUCUGUCAAAUUUUGUUUUUAUCAGUUAAUAAAUUUAUACUUAAAAUAUCAUGAAAAAAAUGAAGAGUAAAUAGAUAGGCAUGUUAAAAGUACAGACUACAACAAGUUAAAAUAUGUAUAGUUGAUCUAUUUGAUGGUUGCAUGCGAUGUGAGUACAUUCUUGUGUCUGUGUUGUGUGCUUGUGUGUAUAAAUUGUUUUGCUUUAUUGAAACUGUUUUGGAACUUACAUUGGUUACAUGAUAUACUAGCAAGUACUAUGUGUAUAUAUCUAGCUAAUAUUUUGUUAUGAACUGUUGUUGAUUUCUGUUCCCUUUGGCCUUUGUUAGUUGUUCAUUAUGCACUCUAUUUUCAAUUACUAUAUAUAAGCAUCUACUUAACAAAAGACGCGACAAAUAGAUUCAUUUUUGUACUAACAAAGUAUGGAGAACACUGCUCUUGUCCCUUUUCCUCCAAGUUCAGUUGAAGAAAAUCCACAAGUGAUUCAAAGAGAGAAUUAUAGUCGUUCAUCCAAUAACAGGGAUAUUGUUUUUACUCAGCCUCAGUUUGCGCAUGACUUUCAUUUGAUUUAUCGUCGUACUCAAAGUCCUAGUGACAACUUUUUUACGCUUGCUAUCAUUCAGCUCUUUUUAUGCAGUUUAAUUGGAGUUAUGGCACUCUGUUGCAUUAUUCCAGCUUUAUACUUUGCUGUCAAAGCAAGAAAUGCUGAAAUGAAUGGUGAUAUCAUUACAAUGUACUCAAAGCGCCAGCUAGCUCUCAUUUUUAAUUUCCUUGGCUCUUUUGUUGGCUUCAUAAACAUCAUCCUAAAUAUUUAUAUCAUUAAUUUGUUAGUCUCAUUAUCCCGCUACCAGUAACAUUUAUGUUACGUACACCUCAUGCUAAACUUACCUCAAGUUUUGUAACACAGUCUGUCAAAUUUUGUUUUUAUUAGUUAAUAGAUACUACCAUGAAAAAAUGAAGAGUAAAUAGAUGCACGUGUUAAAAGUACAUGCCACAACAAGUUAAAAUAUGUAUAGUUGAUCUAUUUGAUGGUUGCAUGUGAUGUGAGUACAUUCUUGUGUCUGUGUUGUGCGCUUGUUUGCUUUAUUGAAACUGUUUUGGAACUUACAUUGGUUGCAUAAUGUACUAGCAAGUACUAUGUGUAUAAUAUCUAGCUAAUAUUUUGUUGGGAACUGUUGUUGAUUUCUGUUCCCUUUGUUAGUCGUCCAUUAUGCAAUUGCUAUAUAAGUAUGCACUUGACAAAAGACGCGACAAACAGAUUUGUUUUUGUACUAACAGAGUAUGGAGAACAGUAAGUUUAGCUACAAGUUAAUAGUUUUUCAAAUGUCUACUUUGCUUCACUGCAGCUGCUCUUGUUCCUUUUCCUCCAAGUUCAGUUAAUAAUGAAGAAAAUCCACAAAUAAUUCAGAGCGAGAAUGAUAGUCAUUCAUCCAAUAGCAGGGAGAUUGUCUUUACUCAGCCUCAGUUUGCACAUGACUUUCAUUUGGUUUAUCGUCGCAAUCAAAGUCCAAGUGACAACUUUUUGAUGCUCACUAUUAUUCAGCUUUUUCUCUGUACUCCAAUUGGAUUUACUCCACUCUUUUGUACUAUUCCAGCUUUAUACUUUGUUUUCAAAGCAAGAGAUGCUGAAAUGAAUGGUGAUAUUUUUACCAUGUAUUCAAAGCGCCAGCUAGCGCUCAUUCUUAACUUCUUGGGCUUUUUUACCGUCUUCAUAAACAUCAUUAUUAUUACUUUUUACACUAAUGCAUAUUUAUUCUAAGCCAAAUUUAAAUUGAACGUAUACUUUGCACUGUCAAAUUUUGUUUUUUUAUUAGUUCAAGCUGUACUAUGGGAUUAAUUGUGAUGUAUGCGUGAUAUUCACAAAUGGGACGAGCGUUUAGACAACUUAAUGCCAAUGUUAUUGCUAAUAUCAUUGAAGUAAUGUUUUACUUUCAAGAUGAAUUGUUUACCUUUUAGUAUCAAUAUUACCCAACAACUUUUCUGAGGUAACUGAGCAAUAAACUAAACAGCAAUGAUAGUAAGGAUGAAAUUUAGUGAUUUUCUUGCAUAGGUGAUGGACCAAGCCUUGCUGAAACUUGCUUAAUUUUGAAGCUGGAGUAUUUUCAUCACAAACUGUCUCUAUAGCCUUUUCCAAGUCUUCAGUCUUCCAUUCCCCCCUUGUGUUAGCUGUUACUGUGUGAUUAUUAUCACUGUCUAGUAACUGCCUCCGUCACCAAGGUGUAUUUGCUCUUAAAUAACUCUUACUACAUUAUUUAUAUAUUGUUUUACAUAAUUCCAUCAAAUAGUGUAAUUAAUUUCCUUCGUAUUGAUAUAUAAUGUUGGCAUAUUCAAAACUUUCAGUCUGCAGUUUCAAGCUGUUGAGGUUUUUUGUAUUUUAAGAGACAUUUGAUUAUUUGGACUUAGCAAUCGACCAUAAUCAUUUGCAGUCAAAUAUAACAUGGAAUAGCUAUUGCAAACUUGCUGAAAUUGGUUCUAGCUAUUGCAGUAGGAGAGCUCUACCCCUCAGGAAAAAAUUGGGUUUCUAAUCAAAUGUUUAAAAUUUUAAUGGUACGUUGAACUUUAAAUGUCCGUAUACUAGACUACCGCUGUCCGUAAACUCUCACCGUUACUCUAAUUAUGAUGAUGUGAUCUUCCGGAAGUUCCGGUAAAAAAUUUUAGCCCUUGAUUGGCUUCAUUGCCUGCCCCUGCAGCUAUAUGGCUCAGAACAGUAAGUUCUACUUUGCUUUAAUACAGCUGCUCUUGUCCCUUUUCCUCCAAGUUUGGUUGAUGCUGAAGAAAAUCCACAAAUAAUUCAGAACGAGGUUCCAAUCAUUUCCUUCCAUUAGUUUUCCAAAUGUCUACUUUGCUUUAAUACAGCUGCUCUUGUCCCUUUUCCUCCAAGUUUGGUUGAUGCUGAAGAAAAUCCACAAAUAAUUCAGAACGAGAAUGAUAGUCCUUCAUUCAAUAGCAGGGAGCCUCUUAUCAUUCCUCAGCCUCUUGUCAUCUCUCAGCCUCAGCUCACGCGUGACUUUCAUUUGGUUUAUCGUUGCAAUCAAAGUCCAAGUGACAACUUUUUGAUGCUCACUAUUAUUCAGCUCUUUCUAUUGUCUCCAAUUGGAUUUACGCCACUCUUUUGUCUUAUUCCAGCUUUAUACUUUGUUUUUAAAGCAAGAGAUGCUGAAAUGGCUGGUGAUAUUUUUACCAUGUAUUCAAAGCGCCAGACUGCACUCAUUCUUAACUUCUUUGGCUUUUUAGCUGGCUUCGUAACCAUAGCUAUUAUUACUUUAUACUCUAUUAUAUAUUCUAACUCCACUAGAAAUUGAACAUACAUAUACUUUAAGAUUUGUAACACCGUCUGUCAAUCUUUGUUUUUUUAAUUAAUAGAUCUAUACAUAAUCUAUACAUAA
rnacentral:misc_RNA from 1 species